rnacentral:rRNA from 1 species
AGGGUUUGAUCAUGGCUCAGAUUGAACGCUGGCGGCAGCCCUUACACAUGCAAGUCGAGCGAGAAAGUUUCUUCGGAAGCGAGUAAAGCGGCGGACGGGUGAGUAACGCGUAGGAAUCUACCAUUCAGUGGGGGAUAGCUCGGGGAAACCCGAAUUAAUACCGCAUAUACCCUAAGGGGGAAAGAGGGCCUAUCCUUGGAAGCUCUUGCUGUUUGAUGAGCCUGCGUGAGAUUAGUUUGUUGGUGAGGUAAUGGCUCACCAAGACUACGAUCUCUAGCUGGUCUGAGAGGACGAUCAGCCACACUGGGACUGAGACACGGCCCAGACUCCUACGGGAGGCAGCAGUGGGGAAUAUUGGACAAUGGGGGCAACCCUGAUCCAGGCAUGCCGCGUGUGUGAAGAAGGCCUUCGGGUUGUAAAGCACUUUAGGUAAGGAAGAAAAGUUAUUGGUUAAUACCUAAUGACCGUGACAUUACUUACAGAAUAAGGACCGGCUAACUCCGUGCCAGCAGCCGCGGUAAUACGGAGGGUCCAAGCGUUAAUCGGAAUUACUGGGCGUAAAGCGCGCGUAGGCGGUUUGACAAGUUGGGUGUGAAAUCCCCGGGCUUAACCUGGGAACUGCAUUCAAAACUUUUAAACUGGAGUACGGGAGAGGAGAGUAGAAUUCAUGGUGUAGCGGUGAAAUGCGUAGAUAUCAUGAGGAAUACCAAUGGCGAAGGCAACUCUCUGGACCGUAACUGACGCUGAGGUGCGAAAGCGUGGGUAGCAAACAGGAUUAGAUACCCUGGUAGUCCACGCCGUAAACGAUGACAACUAGCCGUUGGACUUUCGGGUUCAGUGGCACAGCUAACGCAUUAAGUUGUCCGCCUGGGGAGUACGGCCGCAAGGCUAAAACUCAAAUGAAUUGACGGGGGCCCGCACAAGCGGUGGAGCAUGUGGUUUAAUUCGAUGCAACGCGAAAAACCUUACCAACCCUUGACAUCUAGUGAAAUUUCUAGAGAUAGAUUUGUGCCUUCGGGAACACUAAGACAGGUGUUGCAUGGCUGUCGUCAGCUCGUGUCGUGAGAUGUAUGGUUAAGUCCAGUAACGAGCGCAACCCUUAUCCUUAUUUGCCAGCACUUCGGGUGGGAACUCUAAGGAGACUGCCGUGAAUAACACGGAGGAAGGUGGGGACGACGUCAAGUCAUCAUGGCCCUUACGGAUAGGGCUACACACGUGCUACAAUGGGCAGUACAAAGGGUAGCGAAGCCGCGAGGUGGAGCCAAUCCCAAAAAGCUGUUCUCAGUCCGGAUUGGAGUCUGCAACUCGACUCCAUGAAGUCGGAAUCGCUAGUAAUCGUGAAUCAGAAUGUCACGGUGAAUACGUUCCCGGGCCUUGUACACACCGCCCGUCACACCAUGGGAGUUGGUUCUACCUUAAG